rnacentral:rRNA from 1 species
CAAUAGCGUAUAUUAAAGUUGUUGCAGUUAAAAAGCUCGUAGUUGGAUUUCUGGCAGGAGCGUCCGGUCUCACACUCAGUGCGGGAACUUGGAUGUCUCUGGCCAUCUUUGGGGAUAUCCUGUUUGGCAUUAAGUUGUCGGGCAGGGGAUACCCAUCGUUUACUGUGAACAAAUUAGAGUGUUUAAAGCAGGCUUAUGCCGUUGAAUAUAUUAGCAUGGAAUAAUAAGAUAGGACGUAGGUACUAUUUUGUUGGUUUGCGCACCCACGUAAUGAUUAAUAGAGACAGGCGGGGCUAUUCGUAUUGCAUUGUCAGAGGUGAAAUUCUUGGAUUUCUGCAAGACGAACUACUGCGAAAGCAUUUAGCAAGGAUGUUUUCAUUAA